rnacentral:rRNA from 1 species
AUCGGGAAGAACACCAAUGGCGAAGGCAGGUCUCUGGGCCGUUACUGACGCUGAGGAGCGAAAGCGUGGGGAGCGAACAGGAUUAGAUACCCUGGUAGUCCACGCCGUAAACGGUGGAUGCUGGAUGUGGGGCCCGUUCCACGGGUUCCGUGUCGGAGCUAACGCGUUAAGCAUCCCGCCUGGGGAGUACGGCCGCAAGGCUAAAACUCAAAGAAAUUGACGGGGGCCCGCACAAGCGGUGGAGCAUGCGGAUUAAUUCGAUGCAACGCGAAGAACCUUACCUGGGCUUGACAUGUUCCCGACGGUCGUAGAGAUACGGCUUCCCUUCGGGGCGGGUUCACAGGUGGUGCAUGGUCGUCGUCAGCUCGUGUCGUGAGAUGUUGGGUUAAGUCCCGCAACGAGCGCAACCCUCGCCCCGUGUUGCCAGCGGAUUAUGCCGGGAACUCACGGGGGACCGCCGGGGUUAACUCGGAGGAAGGUGGGGAUGACGUCAGAUCAUCAUGCCCCUUACGUCCAGGGCUUCACGCAUGCUACAAUGGCCGGUACAACGGGAUGCGACGCGGCGACGCGGAGCGGAUCCCUGAAAACCGGUCUCAGUUCGGAUCGCAGUCUGCAACUCGACUGCGUGAAGGCGGAGUCGCUAGUAAUCGCGAAUCAGCAACGUCGCGGUGAAUGCGUUCCCGGGCCUUGUACACACCGCCCGUCAAGUCAUGAAAGUGGGCAGCACCCGAAGCCGGUGGCCUAACCCCUUGUGGGAUGGAGCCGUCUAAGGUGAGGCUCGUGAUUGGGACUAAGUCGUAACAAGGUAGCCGUACCGGAAGGUGCGGCUGGAUCACCUCCUUUCUACGGAG